rnacentral:sRNA from 3 species
AAUAAAGCGUGAAGGAUAACGUUGCGUCAGCAACGGCCCGUAGGGCGAGGCGAAGCCGAGUCAUCCUGCACAACCCACCA